rnacentral:rRNA from 1 species
UACGUAGGGGGCUAGCGUUGUCCGGAAUCAUUGGGCGUAAAGCGCACGUAGGCGGCUUUGUAAGUAAGAGGUGAAAGCCCAGAGCUCAACUCUGGAAUUGCCUUUUAGACUGCAUCGCUUGAAUCAUGGAGAGGUCAGUGGAAUUCCGAGUGUAGAGGUGAAAUUCGUAGAUAUUCGGAAGAACACCAGUGGCGAAGGCGACUCGCUGGACAAGUAUUGACGCUGAGGUGCGAAAGCGUGGGGAGCAAACAGGG